rnacentral:lncRNA from 1 species
CGGAGGAUCCCCGUGUGUACCUGGUAUACACGCGUGCCCAGUCCAGUCUGCGAUUGGCCUGAGCGCUCAGCGUACUGUUUACGAAACUCUUCAGUACGUCGAGACCACAGGCUUGUCCCAGCUGGAUCGCUCGCCGCACCACGCUCGGACGAUCUGGGAGCAAGCGCGGACUGGAAGACCGGGUUUACGUCAUUCUGCGCGGACGGCAAGAGCCAGCUGGACACUUCACGGGCUUGCAACAGGUAGACAAGCAGGGCUGACUGAGAGCUGACGUUUUGAUCUUUAGCAAGAACAGAGUCUUCUGGAUGAAGACGCCAACGUUUUGGACAAGCGCUUGAACCAGAGUCGCAGCAACUGCCUGAGCGACAUACACUAUACAAAGGGGUUGCCAAGAUGGUUCUUUCAUCGAAAUUAUGAGAUGUCCUGAAAUAAAAGUGCGCGUGAUUCUUGCUGGUC